rnacentral:rRNA from 1 species
GAUGAACGCUGGCGGCGUGCCUAAUACAUGCAAGUCGAGCGAACAGAUAAGGAGCUUGCUCCUUUGACGUUAGCGGCGGACGGGUGAGUAACACGUGGGUAACCUGCCUCAUACAGGGGGAUAACAGUUGGAAAUGACUGCUAAUACCGCAUAAGACCACAGUACCGCAUGGUGCAGGGGUAAAAACUCCGGUGGUAUGAGAUGGACCCGCGUCUGAUUAGGUAGUUGGUGGGGUAACGGCCUACCAAGCCGACGAUCAGUAGCCGACCUGAGAGGGUGACCGGCCACAUUGGGACUGAGACACGGCCCAA